UUUGUGCCAGCGGUGUCACCGUGGAGCUACUAUCAUCCCUCAAGGAACGGUUCAUCUUUAUGUGUAAUCCAGCAGCUGUCACCUAAACGGCUAAUGGGGAAGCAAAGUAGAACCUUAGUGCUAGUCGUCUUUGUCACUUAAUAAUUUUAAAGGUAGAAGAUGCCGGGAUGGUGGAGUGCCUGCAUUUAAGAGGAAGAUUUAUUGGAUUCGCAGCAUCCACUGUGAACCUUCUACAACCACAUUAGCUAACAUCUGUUGGAAAAUGUCGAGACGCAGGGCUGAAGACAUGUGCGCAGAAUUGAAAUGAUCAUAACUUUCGAGGCUUGUUUUGAACCAACAGUAC
rnacentral:lncRNA from 1 species